GGAAAAACCAACAAUACAUUAAGUAUAGAAAAUGUGAGUGAAUAAGUUUUGGAAGACAGCUUAAGAUACUUCUUAAGCAGGGAAGAUUGAGGAAAAAAAUAUUAGCACAAUCAAAUAUGUCUGCAAAAAUUAAGCAAUGUAAAUAAUUUCUAGCAUGUUAAUACACUUUAUAUAUAAAAAACAUAUAGUGAGUCUACCCACGGGCUUUUAACAUCGGGCUGGAGGAGAUUUUGCUAUUGAUGGACAAGAACAUGCCAUUAACACUCCAAUGUGACCAUAGUUUCUUGGUUGCAGCAGUCUGUUUGCUUAGCUAGAAUUCCUGGCAUCUGGUUUGGCCUUUUGAAGGGCAGACGAGGUGAUGUGUAAUGUGUCAAUUCUUUUGUGAAAAGUCCCUCCCAGGUAGUAGCACUAUUUUAAAUGGAAUAACGUGGCAGACACCUUGCAAUGGGAGAAGCAAGUGGUGUCUCCAUAACUCAUUCCCUCUUCCCUUUUCACAAGUUAAGUAAAUUUCAACAAUUAUUGAUUGUCAGGUGAAGCCACCACAGUUCCAUUAUGUUUAGAUAAGUCAUGCUACUUCAUUAUCCCAUUUUGAGCUAUGGCAGGAAGAGCUUCCAGGAGUGGAAGGAAGUAACCACAACCUGCAGCCAGGAGCAGAUGGUGGAAACAGACUUUCAAGGGCAUCACGUCCCUGCCCUGCAGGUUAUGGUGUGA
rnacentral:lncRNA from 1 species